rnacentral:rRNA from 1 species
GACGAACGCUGGCGGCGGGCUUAACACAUGCAAGUCGAACGGAAAGGCACUGAUUUUGUGGGGUGCUCGGGUGGCGAACGGGGGCGUAACAGGUGAGUAACCUGACCUUGACUUUGGGAUAACUUCAGGAAACGGGAGCUAAUACCGGAUAGGAUCUCCUGCUGCGUGGAGGGGGUGGGAAAGUUGCAGCGGUCGCGGAUGGACGAGCGGCUUAUCAGCUUGUUGGUGGGGUAGCGGCUUACCAAGGAUGUGGAGGGUAGCCGGCCUGAGAGGGUGACCGGCCACCAUGGGACUGAGAGAGGCCCCAGUGUGGUACGUGAGGCAGAAGUGGGGAAUCUGGCACAACGGGCGGAAGCCUGAUGCAGAAACGCCGCGUUUGGGAUGACGGCCUGUGGGUUGUAAACCGCUUUCGCCUGUGACGAAGCGUGAGUGACGGUAAUGGGUAAAGAAGCACCGGCUAACUACGUG